AAGUCUGGUGCCAGCAGCCGCGGUAAUUCCAGCUCCAAUAGCGUAUAUUAAAGUUGUUGCAGUUAAAAAGCUCGUAGUUGAAUUUCGGGAUCAGUUCGCUGGUCGUGCCUCUGGUAUGUACUGGUGUUACUGGUUCCUCCCUUCUGAAGAACUGUCAUGUCAUUAAUUUGGUGUGGCGGGGAAUCAGGACUGUUACUUUGAAAAAAUUAGAGUGUUUAAAGCAGGCUCGCGCUUGAAUACAUUAGCAUGGAAUAAUGAAAUAGGACGUUUGAUCCUAUUUUGUUGGUUUCUAGGAUUGACGUAAUGAUUAAUAGGGAUAGUUGGGGGCAUUAGUAUUCAAUUGUCAGAGGUGAAAUUCUUGGAUUUAUUGAAGACUAACUACUGCGAAAGCAUUUGCCAAGGAUGUUUUCAUUAAUCAAGAACGAAAGUUAGGGGAUCGAAGACGAUCAGAUACCGUCGUAGUCUUAACCAUAAACUAUGCCGACUAGGGAUCGGAUGAUGUUAAUUUUUUAAUGACUCAUUCCGCGCCUUACGGGAAACA
rnacentral:rRNA from 1 species